UUCCAAACUGCCUCACCAGGAUAUCCUCAGAAAUAGUGAUUGAUCCUGGCACUCUGGUGAAUUUGCUGAGCAGGCAGAGCCA
rnacentral:sRNA from 1 species